UACGUAGGGGGCAAGCGUUAUCCGGAAUUACUGGGCGUAAAGCGCGCGCAGGCGGUCUUCCAAGUCAGUGGUGAAAGCCCGGAGCUCAACUCCGGAACUGCCAUUGAAACUGUGAGACUUGAGGAUGAGAGAGGUGAGUGGAAUUCCCAGUGUAGAGGUGAAAUUCGUAGAUAUUGGGAAGAACACCGGUGGCGAAGGCGGCUCACUGGCUCAUUUCUGACGCUCAGGCGCGACAGCGUGGGGAUCAAACAGG
rnacentral:rRNA from 1 species